rnacentral:misc_RNA from 1 species
UUGAUUUUUCCAUUCGUAAAUGAAUCAAUUUUCAGACUAGUUUUUAAAUUCAGGUUUGGUUUGGCGCUGCCGGCAGGCUUAAAGUCCUAGCUGCAAAGCUCGAACCUGCUGCCGAAGCAAAAAGUUUAUAUGGUUCACAAAAGGUUUAGACCUCCCGUUAGGGAUGUUAAAUUAAUGAUCCUUCCGCAGGUUCACCUACGGAAA